rnacentral:tRNA from 1 species
UGGCAACGUAUUCUCAUGGUGAGAAUGUCUGACUGUUAAUCAGAAUGCGCUUGGUUCGAUUCCAAGGUUGCCAG